rnacentral:rRNA from 1 species
UACGUAGGGUGCAAGCGUUGUCCGGAAUUAUUGGGCGUAAAGGGCUCGUAGGCGGUCUGUCGCGUCAGGAGUGAAAACUCGGGGCUUAACCCCGAGCCUGCUUCUGAUACGGGCAGACUAGAGGUAUGCAGGGGAGAAUGGAAUUCCUGGUGUAGCGGUGAAAAUGCGCAGAUAUCAGGAGGAACACCGGUGGCGAAGGCGGUUGCCUGGGGCUUUGCUGACGCUGAGGCGCGAAAGCGUGGGGAGCGAUCCGG